rnacentral:rRNA from 1 species
UUUGACUGGGGCGGUCUCCUCCUAAAGAGUAACGGAGGAGCACGAAGGUUGGCUAAUCCUGGUCGGACAUCAGGAGGUUAGUGCAAUGGCAUAAGCCAGCUUGACUGCGAGCGUGACGGCGCGAGCAGGUGCGAAAGCAGGUCAUAGUGAUCCGGUGGUUCUGAAUGGAAGGGCCAUCGCUCAACGGAUAAAAGGUACUCCGGGGAUAACAGGCUGAUACCGCCCAAGAGUUCAUAUCGACGGCGGUGUUUGGCACCUCGAUGUCGGCUCAUCACAUCCUGGGGCUGAAGUAGGUCCCAAGGGUAUGGCUGUUCGCCAUUUAAAGUGGUACGCGAGCUGGGUUUAGAACGUCGUGAGACAGUUCGGUCCCUAUCUGCCGUGGGCGCUGGAGAACUGAGGGGGGCUGCUCCUAGUACGAGAGGACCGGAGUGGACGCAUCACUGGUGUUCGGGUUGUCAUGCCAAUGGCACUGCCCGGUAGCUAAAUGCGGAAGAGAUAAGUGCUGAAAGCAUCUAAGCACGAAACUUGCCCCGAGAUGAGUUCUCCCUGACUCCUUGAGAGUCCUGAAGGAACGUUGAAGACGACGACGUUGAUAGGCCGGGUGUGUAAGCG